AACGAACGCUGGCGGCAUGCCUAACACAUGCAAGUCGAACGAGACCUUCGGGUCUAGUGGCGGACGGGUGAGUAACGCGUGGGAACCUGCACUUCAGUGGGGGAUAACGACGGGAAACUGUCGCUAAUACCGCAUACGCCCUACGGGGGAAAGAUUUAUCGCUGAAGGAUGGGCCCGCGUCGGAUUAGCUAGUUGGUGAGGUAAUGGCUCACCAAGGCGACGAUCCGUAGCUGGUCUAAGAGGAUGACCAGCCACACUGGGACUGAGACACGGCCCAGACUCCUACGGGAGGCAGCAGUGGGGAAUAUUGGACAAUGGGGGAAACCCUGAUCCAGCAAUGCCGCGUGAGUGAUGAAGGCCUUAGGGUUGUAAAGCUCUUUCGACGGGGACGAUGAUGACGGUACCCGUAGAAGAAGCCCCGGCUAACUUCGUGCCAGCAGCCGCGGUAA
rnacentral:rRNA from 1 species